GCAUGAUUAGUUCAGUUGGUAGAAUAUCUGACUUCCAAUCAGAUGACAUGGGUUCGAGUCCCAUAUCAUGCU
rnacentral:tRNA from 1 species